AAAAAUUAUCAAAAGUCAUGAAAGACCUUAAUGAAUUCAGAAAGAUUCUAUGGUAGGCAGAGUGAGAGAAUAAGAAAGGUUAAUACCCUAUGAGAGUUGCAAUGUACAACAGAGAGCAUAGCAAGAAACAAAUUAUCUGAAGUGAAUGGUGUCUGUGUCUGGAAAAGGGUUCACUCAGUCUUUUGAGCAGUCUUCUUUAGCGUAGUAUCUGGGGCCUGUGUCUUCCAAGGAAGCCACAUUAUCCAGGGCUAUGGGUCGCGCAGGGUCAUUUCCUUUAUUUCUGUUACCAGGUUGGGUCCUAGCCAUGCCAUGGUAUGGUUUCAAAACUAGAAAACCUACAAGAAAUUGAUAAAUUCCUGGAAACAUACAAUCUCCGACACAACGAAUAAAGAAAACUUCAGACCAAAAACCUUGAUGAAUAUACAUGCAAAAGUACUCCACAAAAUACUAACAAACUGAGUCCAGCAGCAAUUCGAAAAGCUGAUCUACCACAAUCAAGUAGGCUUUAUCUCUUAGAGGCAAGAUUGGUUCAACAUACACAAAUUAAUAAAUGUGAUCCAUUUCAUAAACAGAACUGAAACAAAAGCCACAUGAUUGUUUCACUACAUGCAUAAAAUGAUUUUGAUAAAAUUCAAUAUCCUUUCAUAUUAAAACCUUUAACAAACUAGACUUUGAAGAAACAUACCUCAAAAUAAUGAGAGCAGUCUGUGACAUACCCACAGCUAACAUCAUACUGCAUAGUAAAAAGCUGGAAGCAUUCCCUUUGAGAACUGAAAGAAGUCAAGGAUGGCUUCUUUCUUUUAAGUUCUUUGAGAAUUGCUACACUGCUUUCCACAAUGGCUGAGCUAAUUUACAUUCCUACCAGUAGUGUAUAAGCAUUCCCGUUUUUCCACAACCUCACCAGCAUCUGUUAUUUUUGGACUUCUUAACAUAGCCAUUCUGCCUGGGGUGAGGUGGCAUCUCAUUGUGCUUUUAAUUCACAUUUCUCUAAUAGUUAGUGAUAGCAAUCCUAUUAUUGGAUAUAUAUUCAAAGGAAUAUAAAUCAUUCUAC
rnacentral:lncRNA from 1 species